UACGUAGGGGGCUAGCGUUGUCCGGAAUCAUUGGGCGUAAAGGGUCCGCAGGUGGCCCGGUCAGUCCGCUGUCAAAGCCUGGGGCUCAACCCUGGAGAGGCGGCGGAGACCACCGGGCUUGAGUCCGGUAGGGGCAGAGGGAAUUCCCGGUGGAGCGGUGAAAUGCGUAGAGAUCGGGAAGAACGCCAAGGGCGAAGGCACUCUGCUAGGCCUGAUUUCGCGACUGACACUCAGGGACGAGAGCCAGGGGAGCGAAUGGG
rnacentral:rRNA from 1 species